rnacentral:rRNA from 1 species
UACGUAGGGUGCGAGCGUUGUCCGGAAUUAUUGGGCGUAAAGGGCUCGUAGGCGGUUUGUCGCGUCUGCUGUGAAAACUCGGGGCUUAACUCCGGGCCUGCAGUGGGUACGGGCAGACUAGAGUGCGGUAGGGGAGACUGGAAUUCCUGGUGUAGCGGUGAAAUGCGCAGAUAUCGGGAGGAACACCGGUGGCGAAGGCGGCCAUCUGGGACAACACGUGACGCUGAGGCACGAAAGCGUGGGGAGCAAACAGG